GUUGUUCGUAACAUUUAAUACAUAAACUAAUGUUAGAAAAUGGAAACCCUAUUGUAAUUGUUAUUUUCAUGGUAACACUUUAUUUGGAUAGUCCACCUACAGAAACUUCACAGAUGAUUUGAUGAAAUUCAGUCUUUCUAAUUGUUCAUUGAACAUCACCUUCACCAAACCCAAUCCCUAACCCUAUUCUUAACCAUAAAUUGUAGUUUGUACAGAUUUCCAGCAGACUAUCCAAAUAACGUGUGACCCAUUAUUUCUCCCAUCUUUCUCAGGUGCUUCUCCAGCCUUGGGAGGACAGGAGGCAAACAGGUGGUCUCCCUCCAAAAGAGAGGUUGUGUUUACCACGGCAUCAUCCAGCAUGAACUCAACCAUGCUCUGGGCUUCUACCAUGAGCAAACCAGGAGUGACAGAGACCAGUAUGUGAAAAUCAACUGGAAUUACAUCAACUCACGUAAGCUGCAUUCCCUACCUUCAAUUCUUACUCAGACCGACAGAAAUUAAUGUAGACCUUGAGACCCUUCUCCUUGUUUUGGCAGGAAUGACUUACAACUUCAAGAAACAACGCACCAACAACCUGAACACUCCAUAUGACUACUCUUCUGUGAUGCAUUAUGGGAGAACUGCUUUCACAGUCCAGAAUGGAAAGGAGACAAUCACUCCAAUUCCAAACCCAAAUGUGCGAAUUGGACAGAGACAGGGAAUGUCCACCACUGACAUCCUGAGGGUCAACAAACUCUAUGGAUGCUAACCAAACCCAAACUGAUGCUGUCCCAGUCUGGUACCACCACAUGACGUCUUGAUCACAGAACACAAUGUGACAGAUGAAUAUGUAUAUGUCUU